rnacentral:lncRNA from 1 species
CUUUCAUACUCAACCACAUGUUUUUGAUGGCAAUGGUAGCUGGUCUGGAACAGCCACUGCAAAGACGCCAGCUGCAGGGGAGGAAGUGCGGCCCGGGUGACACACUCCUCAGGGCGGUAGGAACUGGGAACAGGCAGGAGCCCAUCCCCCUACAGAGCUGGCAGAGUGGGAGCCCUGUGGUCUUGGGCGCAGCUACAGCUGCCCAGCUGUAGCUUCAGAUCCGAGCAUCCCUGUAUUGUCAGGGGCCCAGGAAGCUCCUUGCCACCGCAGGCUUGAAAGUUCCUGCUCCCAUUGCCUGACCUCACCCCACUCCUGGCGCCCACUCUGGUGAGGAUCAAAGUUGUGGCAAAGCCUGGGUGCUGUUGCAACCAGACCGGGUGUGUGUGCGCACGCUCAGGGUGACACUGAAAUGCCAGCCUUCUGCCACCUCAGCCCCCUCUGGACUUCGGGCACCGACGAACAUGGGAUGGAGGCUGAGGAGGGGCUGAAGUCAGCUUGGCAAAGGCCACUGCUUGGUAAGAACAGCCUGGGCACUGUGGACUGCAUGUUGAUGGCGGGAGGCAAACAGGUUCCUGGGUGGAAAGGGAUUAGUCCCACGUGAAGCCCCACCUUCAAGGUAGAGACGGCCUGAAGCCUGGUGGCCGGGCUGUCAGAUCCAGGUGGAGUGGGAACUCAUGGUGCUUUUUACCAGCCUGCCCAUGGCUGCCCAUGGAUGAAUCAGCACGUACUUUCUCCCUUCUGAGACCGUAAAAUCCCCGAAACCAGCCAAACUCACAUAGACAUCAGGAUGACUUGCCUGUGGAAAGGAGCUACCCAUUCUGGUUCUCCGCUCCACUGAGAGCUGCACUCAUCACGACAACUUGCAUGUGAGCGGAACCACCCACUACGGGUCUCCUCUCUGCUGAGGUGGACACUCAUUGGGACAACCCGCCUGCGGAAAGGAGCUGUCCACUUCCGGUCCUCUGCAGCCGUUCUGUCAAUGAAGCUCCUCUCUGCCUUGCUCACCCUCCACUUGUCCGUGUACCUCAUUCUUGUCGUGGAACAAGACCCUGGGACCCAGUGAAUGGUGGGACUGAAAGAGCGGUAACACAAACAGGGCUGAAACAUGCCCACCGCUCGCCACUUUGUGGGCGACGAGGAGAAACGAACUGCUGUGGCCCUUCAGGAAUCCCAGACCUAGAGACUCCUGAGCCAGGGCUGUGACACCCUCUUUGGGGCUCCGCAGUUUCUGGUGUCUCCAAGCUUCCGGGUGCCAUCGUAUUUCCCAGUGCCUGCAGUGGAAGCCAUUUGUGGUAACGCCUGGUCCAGCCAGUCUCACACGGAACCCACGCCUGUGCUGGCGCCUGGAGCUGCCUGCCCAGUGGCAGCAAGCACGCAUGGCUGUGUGCAGUGGCCAGACCCCAUGCUUAUUAACACACCCCUUGCUACUCCUCACCAGGCUCGCCCUUGGCAGGUGUGGGAUCCAGGUCAGUAUUAUGAGCCAAAUACAGCCUGCUGGGGCGAGUGAGCAGAAGAGGCCAGCGGGCCCGUGUAAAACUCAGGCAAAGGCACCACCAGCCGCAGAGGUUUCCAACUGAAAAAGUGACACGGUUUGAUCUUCGCAGUGGCCUGUGGCUAAGACUGAUAUUAAAGGAAGAAUUAAAAUCCUGAAUCAAUCAUGAACUUUAAAGGGAAGAGAGCAGCAGAAACCCAGGGGUUACCUGAGGAUAAUUUAGGUCUUUAUUAUGUACAUUCUCAGCUCACCACUGUGCAGAAUUGGUAUGGAAAUCAAUUCAGAUAAGGAACAUACAACUCUGGAGAACUGACUAAAUGUUGUUUUACUAAGAAAAAUGUGAUCACAUCACUUUUCUACCUAAAUUUCUUCAAAAUUUCUACAAAGCUCUGAGAAUAAAACUCUCUCAGCAUAGCUAGCAAGACGAUGCAUGAUCUUCCUAGCUACCUACUAGGCCGUCCUUAUCUCAAACCUCUGCCCCUUAAGCUCCAUCUGAGAAUACCAGUCUUCUUUUAGUCUCUCUUGUAUGUUAUUUGUCUUAUCUUUUGCUGCUUUCAGAACUUUUUCUUUGUCCUAAUUUUUUUAUAGUUUGAUUACUUUGUGCUGUGGCUAAUUCCAAAAAAGGUUAAAUUUGAUUGGAGAACUCUGGCCUUCCUAUAUCUGGAUAUUGGCAUCUUUUCCCAGAUUUGGGAAGUUUUCAACCAUUAUUUAUUUAAAUUUGCCUUUUCCUUCUGAAAUUCUUAUACAAAAAUUAAGUCUCCUAAUAGUGUCCCAUAUUAUCAAAAGCUUUCUUUGUUCUUUUUAUUUUUUUUCCUUUUGAUUCUUCUGACUGGAUAAUUUCAUAUGUUCUGUCUUCCAGCUGAUACUUCUGCUCGAUUGAGCUUGUCAAUGAAGCUUUCUCUUGCAUGUUUUUAGUUCAAUCAUUUCAAUCUUCAUCUCUAGAAUUUCUAUUUGUGUUUUUUUAAUUGUUUCUAUUUCUUUGUUGAAUUUCUCAUUUGUGCAUGUAUUGUAUUCCAAAGCGCACUUAAUUUUUUUUCCAUAUGUUUUUGUAGUUCACUAAACUUCAGGAGGAUUAUUCUGAAUUCUUUGUUAUUUUGGAGAGUUUCAUUACUUCAGGGUCAGUCACUGGACUUUUGCUAUAUUCUUUUGGAGGUGUCGUGAUUUCUUCAGUUUUUAUACUCCUGUUUCCUUGUGUUGGUGUCUGCAUAUUUGAGGAAAC